ensembl:lncRNA
AAAAAGAAAAGAAAAAACUAAUAGAUGAAAACAGAAAAAACCAACAAAAAACCGAAUAAUGACAAGAGAAGAAAGGUAAAGAGAAAAGAAGAAAAAAGCCAAGUGAAAAAGUAAAGAAUAACUCAAAGGAAGGAGUGGAUGGCAAGAAAUACAGAGAAAGCAAUGCAUAGCAGAGCAAAGGAAAGCAAGGCAAAAUAGCAGCCAGAGCCACGAGAAUCAAGAAGUCAGUGAAGAGCAGGAAAGGAAUGGAGGACUCUGGCCAGAGCUGUGCCCCUGCUUGCCACAGGAGCUGCGCGGGAGGAGAAGAAUGUGGGCCAAAAGGUAAGAGGAGCUCCUUUGGGUUCUGGGCUUGAAGCAAAGCUGAGAAGCCAUGCCCGGGAGGAGGUGUGGGUAGCUACAGGCCAGCUUGCUAUCUCCCCAAGAGAUGAGGUGUGUGGGCUAGGCACCGGGCAGGAGUGCUGGCCAGAAGCAAGCAUCUCUGUGGAGGAAGGCAAAG